ACAUUGUCGACGUAAUAACCAGCUACACCAUCGAACC
rnacentral:tRNA from 1 species